rnacentral:lncRNA from 1 species
AGUAUUUAUUUCUUUUGUCCUGUUAACACCAAGUAAUGAAAGGAAUUGUAAGGAUUUUUAAGGUGGGGGGGGGGGGGGGAGGAAUGAAAGCAGGAGCAAGGAAAAAAAAAAUAUGGGCAUAGUGGCUUAAUUUCUCACAGCAUGUGCAGCACAAAUGAACAGUAAACAAAUCCCACGGAAAAAUGCAAACAAAGGCUAUGUUUGCUCAAAGUUCCAAGCAAAAAGCCCAUCGUGAGUGCCACUGAGCAAACAUUUCUGUGAUUAAAUCCUCGGAGCCUCUGUGUUCAGCACAGCAGGUACCUUCCCCCUUCUCCCAGAACAUCCCUGGGCAGCAGCAGCCACAGGGCUACGUGUCCAAGCCUUGCUCUGGUUUAAGGCAUGGAAAUGUGGUCAUUAUGGCACUAAGAGGAAGCAGCAAUCUACUCCUGUGAGCCAAGGGCAAGUGUGAAAAUCCAGUUAGAGAUCAGCCACUCGGGUUUGUCCAUACAGAGUGAAAUAAUCAAGCAAUAGAUCGUGAACAAAUGAUAUUUUGUUGGGAUUUCUGACCCAGAUUUUGGCAAUCCCAGCCAGGUGAGAAACUCAUGAUGUCAGCUGCUACCAAAGGGUUUUUGGGUGGCCCUAAGGGUUGUACCAGCACUACAACAAUAAAUUAUCUCGUUGUGUGACUCCAGGUGAGACUGUACCAUUUUCUGUGUCACCUUUCUAUGUCUGUAGCAAAUGGAAGUGCUCUGGUAGGGUCAAGUUGGCACAGGUGAGAGUCACAUAUUGUGCAGUGCUUUUCCUGCAUUUCCUUACUUCCCAAACCUCAGCUGCAGCACAACUCUAGCCCACUUUAUUUUCUUAAACGAACCAAGGGUGAAUAUGCAGCAACACAAAUCCCAAAAUACCAUCAUGCCACUCCCCUCAUGUGGAAAUAUGCCAUGCCCUGAUGUCGGGAGGUCACUUUUAUUUUCAUGAACUCUUUGCAGCAUUUCCAGUGGGAUUAUUUUUCCCUUGAUGAUCGGAGGCUGAGAGGCAAAUCCAGUGAAAGAAACAAAACCAAACUGUGACAACUUUCUGCUGCAAGCAAAGGCAAAUGCACUUUUGACAGUAUCCCAAGUUACGGGUUUUUCCCCUUGAAAAUGUCUAUAGGCACGUUUCUGAUCCCAGGACUGGAAAUACGUCAUGAGAACAUAGUCAAAUAUGCAUUUGCAUUAACACUGCUGCCAGAAGCCAUCUCACAGCCAUCAGCAGACAUGCUGGAGCCCCUAGAAAGCUUUCUGUGGGAUUGGAAGGCAUCCAGGCAGGAGAAAGCAAAGCCACCAUGUGAUUGGGAUGGCCAGCUCCACAGGAAAGCUGUACAUUAAUGUGUGCAAGCACUCAAAGCAGGAGUUAGGCUGAGGAGCUUGCAAAGAAAUCACUGGCUGAGAACCAUCAUGUGCAUAAAAUAUUUGAUAAAUGAAAAUCUGAAAGAAAUCUAUGUAAAAGUGAUCCACUGAAAGAAAACAGGCUGAUUUUACAGCAAGAAUUACCCAUGUAAAGCAGUGCUGCUGGCUGUAAUAAAGAUCACUGGAAUACGAGUUGCUCACCCAGCCUUAAAGGAUGUGUACCUCAGGCUCCAAAAGGACACUGUGAGGACUGUGAAAAGAAUCUAUUUUACUCUUUGUGUAUGAAAUUGUCAGAAGAAACCAAACAGCAGUGCUGGGUAUUGGGGCUUGUCUCUAUUUUUCACCAGAUGACUUUUACCUUAUGAUUCCCCCUCUAACCAUAAAGUGAGGCUCUGGCCACCCACUCCCUCCCAGUCCUUCCCAGUUCAAAUUCGGAUCAUGUAGGUGUUAAGCAGAAUGUGCAGCUACAAACAGAACUAACAGCUCUCCGGGGCUCAGCCACCCUUCAAAGGAACAAACCUGGAGGUAUUUAGGGCCCUUUGCAGAGUUAAUGUCUAAGAAGGUGUGCAGAGGCACAGGUGAGGGACUGCCCGAGGGGAGGGUGCAGAGAUGAACAAUCUGCAGGCACAGGAGCUCCCCAAACACAGCCCUCCCCAGCAGGAACAACUGCAGGAGACAGAUGAAAUGAUGAAAAAUGAAGGGAUCAGCAGAAAUCAGACCUAAUAGAAACCCAACUCAAAUAAACUCAGCAUGGCUCCCGUGGCUCAUUCAAAAGCAGCUCUUCUCCAGUGAACUCAGCUCAGGGGAAAGAUGGAAUGGAACUUCCCCUGCUCUGUGCCUUUAGGAGCCACUGGCAGCUCUGACUGGCAAUGGGGAGAGCUUCUAAAAGGGAAAUACUGAAGAUUGCAACUCUACCUCCUACGUUGCAUCACAGGAAAUGUGACAUCUCCAGCCAGAAAGUGUAACUGCUCCUAAAUCCUGGGAUUCCGAAUUGGAAAGAAUUAAUAUUAUUUUCAUAAUUGAUGUGAGGUCAGAGCUGUGUGUGCUUGCCUGAAUACAAAGCCAAGCAGUAGUUUCUACAUAAGAAAACGUACAAGUCUGUCAUUAUUUAUUUUUAAAACUGGAAUGAAGAUGCUUUGACUCUGCAUGUGUAGAACAGAAUGAGAUCAGGAGGCUCAAUGCUGUAUCCCUGGGAUGAUGGAAGCAGAGCAUUCUAUUGCACAAUUAAACUGAGUUGUUUGUAAAUGAUUUAUGUGCUUCUUAACAUGUGUAGAAACUUAUGCUACAGGACAUCAACACUGGGGUUUUUCUUUUUCUAUGUCAGCAUCAGAUCACUACCAAAGAAAUUCAAGGCUAUAUUUGAUCAUUUAAUUAACAUGCUCGUUAAACCUCAGCUAAAACAAGAGGACAACAGAGAAACUGAAUGUGGUUUAGGAUUCAAAAAUAUUAUAAUAGUUGAUCUGGGUGAAGAAGGUUUUUUGGCUAUAGCAGACAGUUGAGAAACAUGUCAAAUUGCUUCUACUGAAUAGUCAAAAAUAUCAGAAUAUUGAAAGUUACAGACUAUUCAGUCAGCAAAGCACAUGUGAUAGUGCUUGCUCGUGCCUCUCUCCAUUGUCUUUUGCACAGUCCUUAGAACAGGAGUAAAAUAUUGCCUGGCUCCACAAGUGUUCUCCAUGAAUUUGCAGCUCUGAUGGGAGUUCAGAAAAGAACAGAAGGCAUUUUAUUGCUGGAAAGCAGAGAGCCAAGUUGAUCUGGGAUUCUGUUCAAUCCCAGAAUUGAAUCAAACCUAUUCCUCCACAUUUAUUACCAUUAAUAAGGGGAGAUGUGGCCCAAGACCUCAAGGAAUCAGGCAGGAGCUGCUGUGGCUCCUUUUUUUCUGGUACCUGAGAGACUCCUCCAGUCUCUAAGGCUGACACUGACCCAAAGAAUUGCUUUGUUCUGAUUUAAUUUUUUUUUACCACCUAUUUUGCUACAUUUAACAGUUGAGAGAGCAGAGAUCAUGAGCUUGUCACCUCUCCUGCUACUGGUAGUAGGCAGAGUGGAAGGAGGUGUAAGACUGUGGAGUGAACUGGCUCCUGUGUGACAUGUCUGCAGGGAAUCAGCAUUGCCAGCAGGCUCUGGGAACAGCAGUGAUGUGUUUGGAUAUCACUUGUUUUUAAUUGCUAUUAUUGCCAUUUCUAUCUUCUGUUAACACUCCUCUGACAUGAGCCCUUUUUUCUUAAUCCAUAUGACAGCAGUAUUCAUGUUGCCAAAACACCCCAGAAAGCUGCACUUACUUCAGUCCUCUCUGCAUAAAUGCACUAAUAGUUGAAUUUCCUGGAAAAGACAGCAAGGAAUUGCCUGUUUAUCUGCUCCCAGAUGAAGUUAGUGCUGCCAUGUGCCAGCCCAGGUCUGGGAACACCGAUCAGAUCAACAGCGAUGCCCAAGGGCAGCUGGUGGCCACACCCCAAAGUGUUUGAUCUAAAAAAUUAAGGAAGGUCUCAAUUCAUAAACUCCUGAUGCCCAGGGCUUGUACAUGGUGGUCCAAGGGUCCAGCCAGGGCUCAGACCUGAGGCAGGAGUGGGAGCUGUGCUCUGAGCUCUCGGGCACCUAUGGACAAGCAGAGCCCUCCCCCAGUCCUGGGCUGGUACUGGUUACCUGCUGUCACCUCCUUCUUUAACUGGGAGUUUUCAAGAGUGUCCUGUGGGACCAGAAAUUUAAAUCCAUCUGUUCAGAGUCUGUAUGUGCAGUCUUUACUAGUGCACUGGGAUAGUGACCUGUUCAGGAAACCAAAUUCCAUGCCAAAUGCCCCAGGGACCUGCAGGAAGACAAUUUUGGAAGCAGGAUCAUUUUCAGACAGAAGCCAGCAGGAUUGAUUAAAGGCAUUGAUUUUCCAUCAGGGUUCCUCUCCUUAAUUCCACAUGGCUUGGGGAAGGAAGAUGUCCAACAGGAACUCUUAAUUUCUAUAUUAUUUUCAUUAUAAUUUGAUUAACACAGAUAGGGAAACUUCAUGUCUAGGAUGCCUAUCUGUGAAAAGCCUGUACAAUAUAGAGGCAACUAACUCAGAUGAAGAAAAAUUGUAUUUAAAAAAUGCUUUUGCUUAAGAAAAAAAAAAUAGGAAAUGGAACCACGUCUACCUAGUAGCACCAGGUCAGGAUGAUUAGUGACACAAGCCAGAGAAUCAUGUCCUUGUAAUACCCACACAUGAUGGAUGGCCUCUGCAGCUGGAGCAAGUGAGUCAAACUGACCCUUGUUUUUACAUGGUUGGGCUGCUUUCCCUCCCUCAAAAAAAAAAAAAAAAACCAAAAAAAAAAACCACACCCAACAAAACAAACAAACAAACAAAAAACCAAAAAAAAAAAACCACCCCAAAACCAAAAAAACAAGAGUCAGCUGUCAGGUACCAGCAAGCUACAAAAUUAAUUGAUGCUUUUUAGGGCAUGGUGACCCACUGGAAUGAGCAGGAGUGACAACGGGCUGCUUUUAGAGACUUUGCAUUUGGCUGGAAAUCACAUGCCUCUGUUGUUACAUAACUUCAGGGAUGUAAGGUGGCAUCUUGCCUCUGUUUAUGGCCAUCACACUCCCCCUAAGAUUGCAUCUUAUCUGCUAUUUUGUAUUCUCAUAUACUUUUCAGUCACUCUACAACUCCAAUUACAGUGCUUUCUUCCCUCCUUUAAGGAGAAAUUGUUCUAGUCUUAUGCAAAAAAAAAAUCAUUACAUGAUGCAUAAAAAAGAACCACACAUCUGCAUUAAUUUUCUUCUGUGCUAAUAUGUCACAAUGCUCAUAACAAAGGUGAGCAUAAGGAACUUACACUAAGUUUGGACUCCUUGGGGAGGUGUGAAGAUACAAAUUGUCUCAGAGUUUUUGUGCCUCUAGUCCAGUCCAGGCAGGCUGGGUCAGUGUGUGGUAAAGGGGACAAGAAGUACCUGAAUUCCAUCUUCUCACAGGAAACACAGGCUAGAAGAGAACGAGCUGGAGGGAGCAGGUGAAGUUCUGCUUCUCCUCUUGUCUUGCUGUAAGUCCCUGAAUCUGUGGCUGCCACUGCUCAUGGCUCAACAUCUCCUUCAGGAAAGCAUUAGGCCAAAGAGGAUUCAGCUCCCCAGAGAAUGCAACUGCUGCUGGUGACUGACAGGUUUGCUCAGACUCCAAACAUACCAGGAUUUUAGUGCCGGGGAGGUGAGAGCUGCAAACAGUGCAGAAUAUCUCAUUCUCAGGGCUGCUGGUUGGUAAAAAUGCAAAAUACUGCAUUUGACAUAAUCUUGCUCUACCCCAAACUUAGGAACCAGCACUGUCAAAAAAGUGGCUGUGACCUAGAUUAAAUUAAUUAAUCCAAGUGAAGAAAUAAAAACAAAAGAGAUGAUCCUUGUAUUCUUUUCUCAACAGUUGGAUUUCAGCUCGAGGAAGGCUCUAGGCCACAUCAGUGUCUGCUACAAGCAGAUGUGUUCUCUUUGGAAUACAUGCACCCACUUAUGCUCUGCCUGCAUUAAGGCUGUUACUGGGUUUUUGGGAGCUUUGGCAAGUGCUCUCUGUUAAUAUCUGAAGGUGGGAGUGUUCAGGGAGUUGUCGGAAAGGCUUGCAAGACUAGAUCUGAUCAUACCCACCCACACUAAUUAACACAUUACAUAAAAGUACAACAAGUUUCUCUUUGCAAACAUCAGAAUCACUUGCCCAG